rnacentral:rRNA from 1 species
GACGAACGCUGGCGGCGUGCUUAACACAUGCAAGUCGAACGGAAAGGCCCUGCUUUUGUGGGGUGCUCGAGUGGCGAACGGGUGAGUAACACGUGAGUAACCUGCUCUUGACUUUGGGAGAACUUCAGGAAACUGGGGCUAAUAUCGGAUAGGAGCUCCUGCAGCAGGGUGGGGGUUGGAAAGUUUCGGCGGUUGGGGAUGGACUCGCGGCUUAUCAGCUUGUUGGUGGGGUAGUGGCUUACCAAGGCUUUGACGGGUAGCCCGCCUGAGAGGGAGACCGGCCACCUUGCGACUGCGAUACGGCCCAGUCUCCUACGGGAGGCAGCGGUGGGGAAUAUUGCACAGUGGGCGGAAGCCUGAUGCAGCGACGCCGCGUGCGGGAUGACGGCCUUCGGGUUGUAAACCGCCUUCGCCUGUGACGAAGCGUGAGUGACGGUAAUGGGUAAAGAAGCACCGGCUAACUACGUG